GCGGAAGGAUCAUUAACGAAUCCCAAUCUAUACUUGCCUUAGCGGUUGUAACUUGAAGCUGUCCUUCGGGGUCAUGGGAAGACCGAGGCAUUGUCUCGCUCUCCCAUGUUAAAUCGUCAGUGGGUAAACCGGCGUGCGUGUGUGUGCAAGCACACACACACGCUGGGACGGGCCCCGAAUUAGUUUUUUUCACCCACUUUUUCUAACUACCUAAACAACCGUUGCUAAUCCUCUUGACAUACAUGUCGAGGGAGUAUGCCUUUAAUAGAGAACAACUUUUAACGGUGGAUCUCUUGGCUCGUGCAUCGAUGAAGAACGCAGCAAACUGCGAUAAGUAAUGUGAAUUGCAGAAUUUAGUGAAUCAUCGAAUCUUUGAACGCAAAUGGCGCACCUGGGUAUUCCCAGGCGCACGCCUGUCUGAGCGUCGUUUCUCACAUUCUACACACACAUGUGUGUGUGCGUAGAGUUAUGAGGUGUCCGAGUGUUACUCUACACGCGGUCCCUUGAAGUGCAGUGCAAUCCCGAGCGUUCUUUGCGUAUCCCUCGUGGUGCGUAUCGAGCUCGGUGUGGUAGUAUUACUCUAUUAUCACCGGCCGAUACGUUGUAACAGCUACAAGGUGCAUACACGUACGUUGGGGUUUGAAAAAAGCGGUCAACUAUACUGUUGACCAUCAUAGACCUCAGAUCAGACGAGACUACCCGCUGAACUUAAG
rnacentral:rRNA from 1 species